UACAGAGGGUGCAAGCGUUAAUCGGAAUUACUGGGCGUAAAGGGCGCGUAGGCGGUUGUAUGGGUGUGAUGUGAAAGCCUUGGGCUUAACCUGAGAAGUGCAUCGCAAACUGUAUAACUGGAGUAGAUGAGAGGGUGGCGGAAUUUCCGGUGUAGCGGUGAAAUGCGUAGAGAUCGGAAGGAACGUCAAUGGCGAAGGCAGCCACCUGGCAUCAUACUGACGCUGAGGCGCGAGAGCGUGGGGAGCGAACAGG
rnacentral:rRNA from 1 species